rnacentral:rRNA from 1 species
CCUACGGGAGGCAGCAGUGGGGAAUAUUGGACAAUGGGCGAAAGCCUGAUCCAGCCAUGCCGCGUGUGUGAAGAAGGUCUUCGGAUUGUAAAGCACUUUAAGUUGGGAGGAAGGGUUGUAGAUUAAUACUCUGCAAUUUUACGUUACCGACAGAAUAAGCAACGGCCUACUCUGUUCCCGCAGGCGGCGGUAUUCCGGGGGGGCAAGCGGUAAUCGGAAUUACUGGGCGUAAAGCGCGCGUAGGUGGUUUGUUAAGUUGGAUGUGCAAUCCCCGGGCUCAACCUGGGAACUGCAUUCAAAACUGACUGACUAGAGUAUGGUAGAGGGUGGUGGAAUUUCCUGUGUAGCGGUGAAAUGCGUAGAUAUAGGAAGGAACACCAGUGGCGAAGGCGACCACCUGGACUAAUACUGACACUGAGGUGCGAAAGCGUGGGGAGCAAACAGGAUUAGAUACCCGGGUAGUC